rnacentral:lncRNA from 1 species
GAAAAAUAGGAGCAAGAGAGAGAGAGAGAAGAAGGGAGGGAAAGAGACUAAGACUUUGUUUACUAUAUUGAACUUUCUUUAAGCACUUCACAAGCUUGGGGAUGAAAGCUGGGUUCAGGGCAGAAAUAUCAGCGAUGCUAAGAAUUGAGGGCAGAUGAUGAUAGAAACCAUUUCUAACACUCUUAUAGCACUUACAAGGGGCCGUGUUUUGUCCUCUUGUAACUCUGGGUAAAACUCUUUGUUUUACAGGUGAGAAUAUCGAGGCAUUGGAGAUGCACAUCAGAGCUUCCCAUGCUGCAAGUGGAAGACCUGUGACCCGGGCCUCUCUUGUUGCCAACUGAAACGGAAGGAAAUGCUUUGCUCGAAUGAACUGAGUGCCUACCAUGCUUUAAGCUGUCUUUGCAGGACUGGAUGUCUCUUGCCAGUAUGUCUGGAGAUUCCAGUCACAGUGGACUUUAUGACAUUAUAUCGCUCAGAAGGAGACCAAAAUACUUGUCACUCUACAGAAAACCCUGAACACUGUCAUGAGGCAAUGAAGCAUAAUGGAACAGGAGUGAAAUAAACGCUGGAUCCAGAGGCACAGAGCCCGCAUCUCCAGGCCCUGCUCUUCCAGAGAUGGGUGGCAGGUGGACCUUGCACAAGCAGUUUCCUUGGACUUUGGUUCUUCUUUAGGAAAACGAGAAGUUGAAUCAAAAGAUUGAUAAGAUAUCUUCCAGCAGUAAUAUUUGAUUAUUUUUGUGUUUGGGGCUUGAGAUCAAGGAGGAGGUAUGGAGAGAGAAUGGAAGGAAAGAAUGAAUGGUUGAAGGAAGGAUGUGAAAGGAGAGAAGGGGGAAAUUAAAAGAAAUUUAGACAUGUUGAAAUUAGUUGGACCUGUCUUUCCCACGUGUCACAGGGACAACACUGUUGAUGCUGUUCAGCCCUCCUGCCAUUCUGCCCUGUGGUGCAGAUGAGUCUUUGGUGCUCAACUGACUGCCCGGCCAUGGCUCCUUUGGCUUAGCAUCGUAGAUUUAUAAUGCUACAGAACUGGGAGGAGCUGAACAGGAUUUAUCACACUGGGAAGGGCAACACCACCAAAUCUGGAGACAUAAUCCUUGGUGGUGGGGGCGGGAGGGUGGUGGUUUGUCAAACAGCUGCUGAGAAAAUUGGGGGAAAAUAGAUGGACAAAGAAGAUAUUUGGAAAAUUGUCUACGUGUGUUAUGCAAAUGUCAACCAUGUUUUUUAUUCUUCCUGACUUUGACAAUGUUUAUAUCACUUCUUAAUGCUCUACAUGUGUUCUCCUUGAGUAUUCCGGUAUACUAACACUGGCCCCAUUGUAUCCAUGUUCUCAAAAGAUUUUCUAAUGUGAAUGUGAGAGAGCAGGAACAUCAACAUUCUCAUGGAGCUUGAGGACAAUACUUGUGCUGUGCAUUUCUAGGAGUAGACGAGAGAGAUGGAGCCAAAGGAAGAGGCAAAUUGCAAAGGCAGGGAGCAGAGAAAGUCAGGAAUUAGUUGGUGAUGGCAGAAAUAAAACCUGUUAUUGCUGUUUUGCUUGUAAAGGA